AUGAGAUAUUGUUUUCCUUUUUUUAUUUUCUUUCACAAUCUUAUUUCUUCCCUGCUGUUUUGAUCUUUUCCCGAAACGGCAACUUACCUCACCCAAGAUCCUCCCGUCCAAUCAUAUUUCACGAGGACCCCAUCGCUAUGGCAAUGGUUGCCUAGUGACCGAUAAAGCCCUGAUCCCCCCUUCCUCUCACAUUGUUGCGACCUCUCAGAGUCCAACUGAAGGUGAAGUCCCAGGGUUCAUUGUGCUUUCAGACUGUCUUCUACCUGUGAGCGUCUGCGGAGAGCUGCCACACAAACACACACUGACAUACGCAGAGAUACCCUUAAUUGUGAACCUCAAAGCUGAAAUGUAUAUAAAAUGCACAAAAAACAAACAAACACAUGCCUGCUGACACUCACUCAAAACACACACACACACAGUUAACAAAAAUUACGUAUCCGUACAGCCAAAUGCUUGGUUUGACCACAGUCUGUAUGGAAAAGGGUAUUUAGUACAACUAAGAGAACUCAGACCACAUGUGUAGGAAAGGCACUGAUAAAAAAAACAAUGAUAUAUCACUUCAGUAGACUUUAACAUGUCUAUUCCAUGUCUAUUACGUGACAAAUAUAGAGGGAUCGUUGUUUCAUAAUAAAAAAGAAAGAAAAUACAGAAAAAAAGAUGGCUAAAUGAGUAGGCUAGCAAGACUUUGGAAAGGAUCCUAAUGAGCUGUAUAUAGUUUAGUUUACAAAGAGCAGCAUUUAAAAAAAACAAGAAAACAUGCAAAAAAGAAUACUACUUUAGAUAAAACACUGAACAGAACACUGCAACAUAACUAUUAUUAUCAUUAUUAUUCUUAUUAUUAAUACAACUAGUGACAUCAUCAUUCUUCAUGAGAAAGCUAUUACAUUCCAAAUUGUAAAAUGGGGAAAUCACAAACCUAUUUUAAAUUUCUACUUAGAUUUUAGGUGAAACACAGGGGAGGGGGCGGGGUUGCACUUUUAUUCGGGAGGUUUUAAUAAUUGAGCUAUUUUUUAUUUAUUUAUUUACUAAUUUAACAAUUAUUUUGUUUAUCGGGAGAAAAUGUUUGAGUGGCAAUGCAAUAUUUUGGUUUUAGGAUUUUCUAGAGAAAAACUUUUGAGAGCCUGUUUCUGUCAGACUCUUACAAUCGAGUAAUUAUAAUGUAUCUAUUAACUAUUACAGCAAUUAUAUUUAUUUCUUAUUUAUUGAAUCCUGUUUUUUGAUCCACUCUUUUUAAGUUUAAAUAAAAGGUAUCAUACUAAA